UACGUAGGGGGCAAGCGUUGUCCGGAAUCAUUGGGCGUAAAGAGCUCGUAGGCGGUCUGUCGCGUCGGCUGUGAAAACCCGGGGCUCAACCCCGGGCCUGCAGUCGAUACGGGCAGACUAGAGUGCGGUAGGGGAGACUGGAAUUCCUGGUGUAGCGGUGAAAUGCGCAGAUAUCAGGAGGAACACCGGUGGCGAAGGCGGGUCUCUGGGCCGUAACUGACGCUGAGGAGCGAAAGCGUGGGGAGCGAACAGG
rnacentral:rRNA from 1 species